GAACUGUAGAGUUUGAUCCUGGCUCAGAUUGAACGCUGGCGGCAUGCCUUACACAUGCAAGUCGAACGGUAACAGGUCUUUCGGGAUGCUGACGAGUGGCGAACGGGUGAGUAAUACAUCGGAACGUGCCUAGUAGUGGGGGAUAACUACUCGAAAGAGUGGCUAAUACCGCAUGAGAUCUAUGGAUGAAAGCAGGGGACCUUCGGGCCUUGUGCUACUAGAGCGGCCGAUGGCAGAUUAGGUAGUUGGUGGGAUAAAAGCUUACCAAGCCUACGAUCUGUAGCUGGUCUGAGAGGACGAUCAGCCACACUGGGACUGAGACACGGCCCAGACUCCUACG
rnacentral:rRNA from 1 species